UGUCCGCAUCGACUGUCUCCCACCAUAC
rnacentral:sRNA from 1 species